UGUGCUACCUGUUGUGCCCUAAGAGGGGGCACAGGGAACGAGUUACCCCAGCCACCCCUGCUGCCUUUGAUCACCGCAGCAGUGCACUAUUGCACUGCUGAGCUGGAAAAAUGAAUGACUGCAGCCAAAGGUCCGAAAAAGGGGCGGAGCUACACGGCACUAUACUCACAGUGACAGGCCAGCCAGCACCAUCGAAGAGAGGAGGGGAGAAGAGCAGCAGCACAGCAGAGCCUAAAUAAUGGCACUGAACAUUGGGUAAGGCAGUGUACAGCAACCAAAAGGGCCAAGCACAAAUCAAGUUCCUUGGUCAAUGAUAAAAGUAUUUGGUCUAGUGUGUGUCUUUACUCAACCUGUACUCACCUAACCAGUACUACCUUCAAAGAUUCAUCUUUGUGCUUUCUUGCUGCUUGUAGCACAAUGAUCAGGUAGGACCCUUUACACAUGACUGAUAUGGCCUUGGUUUGAAGCCACCAUCCCUGAUUUUGAACAAGCCAUGAGCCACCACCAUGUUUGCACUAACUUAUAAGUACCAUACCAGUCUACUUACAAGGAUUUACUUUAAGUCCUUCCAAGAUAUUAGAACUACGUUAUGGUUUCUGCAGCAGUUGAGUCAGCAAUGAAGGAAGCUUGGCCUCUGGCAUACCAAUGCUAUCGUGCAACAUUGUAUGAAAGAUGAUUUCUAUGUAAUAUACUGUAGAUUCAAGUGUAUUUUUUUUUUGUGUGUGGGGGGGGGUGAAAUUUGUUAGCAAACUGUGUGCUCUCAUCCUUUGGCAUAUAAUCAUAUGUGAAAUGCAAAGCUGAAUAGGGAAUUGCAUUAAUUUACUAAAAUCUAUCCUAUUUCAUCUAACUUUAGAAUCCAAGAGAUGUAAGAUUAGUAUAAAUCAAAAUGCCUUUAGACAUAAGGAAAUUCAAUAGACUGUGCAGCUGGGCUUUCUUUUUUU